AUACUUAGGGUGCGAGCGUUAAUCGGAAUUACUGGGCGUAAAGCGAGUGUAGGCGGCUGCGUAAGUCGGAUGUGAAAGCCCCGGGCUCAACCUGGGAAUUGCAUUCAAAACUAUCAUACUAGAGUUUGUUAGAGGGUGGUGGAAUUCCUAGUGUAGCGGUGAAAUGCGUAGAUAUUAGGAGGAACACCAGUGGCGAAGGCGACCACCUGGGGCAGUACUGACGCUGAGAUGCGAAAGCGUGGGGAGCAAACGGGAUUAGAAACCCUAGUAGUCC
rnacentral:rRNA from 1 species